UACGGUGGGGGCAAGCGUUGUUCGGAAUUACUGGGCGUAAAGGGCUCGUAGGCGGCCACCUAAGUCGGAUUUGAAAUCCCCAAGCUUAACUUGGGAACUGCAUCCGAUACUGGAUGGCUUGAAUCCGGGAGAGGGAUGCAGAAUUCCAGGUGUAGCGGUGAAAUGCGUAGAUAUCUGGAGGAAUACCGGUGGCGAAGGCGGCAUCCUGGACCGGCAUUGACGCUGAGGAGCGAAAGCUAGGGGAGCAAACGGG
rnacentral:rRNA from 1 species